UACGAAGGGGGCUAGCGUUGCUCGGAAUCACUGGGCGUAAAGCGCACGUAGGCGGAUCCUUAAGUCGGGGGUGAAAUCCUGGAGCUCAACUCCAGAACUGCCUUCGAUACUGAGGAUCUCGAGUCCGGGAGAGGUGAGUGGGAACUGCGAGUGUAGAGGUGAAAUUCGUAGAUAUUCGCAAGAACACCAGUGGCGAAGGCGGCUCACUGGCCCGGUACUGACGCUGAGGUGCGAAAGCGUGGGGAGCAAACAGG
rnacentral:rRNA from 1 species